CACAGCUCUGAUUCAAAGGUCAUCAUGUUACAUGUCUUGAUGUGGAUUCUAGUAAUGAAUACCAUGAUGUGACCCAUGCUAAGCCCUGGGAACAGAUGAACAGUGUCAUUGUCAAAUCCCACUGAUGGUUCUCUUCAUAUGUGUUUCACCUCCCGCUCUACACAGGAACGGAUUAGUAAAAGGAGCAGAAGCAUUCGAUGUAGCAACUUAGGUAGUGAAUCCAGUGCCCAGUAAUCCGGGUCCACAGCCUGAGCUAAGCCACCUGUUAACUGUGUGAGCGUGGGCAGAUUACGUAACUUCUUCCCAUUCACACAUGAGUGCUAUUUAACAUUGUCUCAUGAAGUAAUCUAUGAAAUACACACAGAUACACAUUCAUAUGACUCAGCCUUAGGUAUUUUGCUAAAGCAGUAUAAAAUGAGCUAAUAGAGAAUACUUGAUAUAUUGAAUUCAUAGAUAUCCACUUCACUAAUUUCCUCCACUUCAAGAUUUUGUUCAAAACUCAUCAUCUCUGACCUUAUCUAACUAUGUAAUUAUAUUAUAUUUAUUGCCUGUUUUACAUUGUCAAAACUCUCUCUCUCUCUCUCUGUCACUAAAUGUCUAGAAGAGUGACUGGACCUUAGAAGUUCAAUAAGUUUGUUAGCUAUUGGCUGAGUGAAUUAAUUAGUAUAUUUAAUUAAAAUGGUUUUGUGUGAUACAAAAAAAAACCCAAACAAAUCAGCGGGCCAUACCUCCAUCUGUCUUUUUAUAUUUUUCUGCUACAUUAAGCUAAAUUCUAGUAAUGGCUAUUUAUGUGUGCAUAUAUAUGUACAUAAAUUCAUAUGUACAUAAUAUGACUAUAAAUGCAUACAUAUACACUAUAUAGGAAGAUUGUAUUUUUCUCAUGCAAUAACUUAAUUCUCUCAACAGAGUAUAAUUUUUUUCCUUUCCCUAUUUUGAAGGAAUGUUUACUUCUAAAGAAAUACAAGUUUCAUCACAUAUUCCACAGACCAAAAAUGCCCUGGGGUGAAAGUCCAGAAAAAGCUCUUUCUCAAAACUCCCAGAGUCAAUUUGAGUUUUGGCCCCAAACCAGUCCCACACUGAACCAUUUGCCCCGGAGCUUGGGAAUGGUUGGAAGCACUUUUGAGCUGCACCCAGAAGGAAGCAGCAUUUAUCUAAAUUAAACCUGUGAAGUACUACUUAGCCCUGGGAGGGAACUUGAUUCACUUAUUCAUAAACACUCACUCAAUUAGCUCACUUCCUACGCUUGGACAGGCAUUGAGCUAUGUCCUGGUUAGAUAUGACUGAAGGCCCAAGUUCCUUCCUUUAAGGAAUCUAAAUUCAGGGUAGUAGCAGACCAGGAAAAGAAACAUGCCGUGCACAUGUCUCUCCAAAGCUGACCACAGGGUACUGAAGGAGCGCCACAGGUUAGUGCAUAUUGAGUCUGAGCUCCAGAUUGCCACCAGGUUCACCUGUGAACAAUUAAGUUUCAGGGUCCAAUACCAAAGCUUUUGUCUGCUCUGAGGUGUCAACUGCCUGUGACCUGAAGGGAAGAAAUCAAAGGCAGAACGGAGUCCCACAAAGACAGCGUCUGCAUAUCUUUCACCUCCAAGCCAAAGAGACUGAC
rnacentral:lncRNA from 1 species